rnacentral:rRNA from 1 species
ACGGAGGGUGCAAGCGUUAUCCGGAUUCACUGGGUUUAAAGGGUGCGUAGGCGGGCAGGUAAGUCAGUGGUGAAAUCCCCGAGCUUAACUCGGGAACUGCCGUUGAUACUAUCUGUCUUGAAUGUUGUGGAGGUAAGCGGAAUAUGUCAUGUAGCGGUGAAAUGCUUAGAUAUGACAUAGAACACCUAUUGCGAAGGCAGCUUACUACGCAGAUAUUGACGCUCAUGCACGAAAGCGUGGGGAUCAAACAGGA